GACGAACGCUGGCGGCGUGCUUAACACAUGCAAGUCGAACGGAAAGGCCUGCUUUCCCUUGUGGAUUGCGGGUACUCGAGUGGCGAACGGGUGAGUAACACGUGAGUGAUCUGCCCCCAACUUGGGUAUAAGCCUGGGAAACUGGGUCUAAUUCCCGAUAGGACUGCAGGGUGGUGCCUGUGGUGGAAAACGAUUUUCUAGUGGUUGGGGAUGAGCUCGCGGCCUAUCAGCUUGUUGGUGGGGUAAUGGCCUACCAAGGCGGGGACGGGUAGCCGGCCUGGGAGGGUGGACGGCCACAUUGGGACUGGGAUACGGCCCAGACUCCUACGGGAGGCAGCAGUGGGGAAUAUUGCACAAUGGGCGGAAGCCUGAUGCAGCGACGCCGCGUGGGGGAUGACGGCCUUCGGGUUGUAAACUCCUUUCGACCGCGAGGAAGCCACCUGGUUGGAAGGGUGGUGACGGUAGUGGUAGAAGAAGCACCGGCUAACUACGUG
rnacentral:rRNA from 1 species